UUCGCGAUUUUGCGUUUUUUUUUAUAAUUAAAACAAGUUUAGGCCUCAGUUUUUCCUGGCAUUUGCAAAAUAAUUAGGCAAAAUUUUGGGUUAACCGGCUUAAUUAAUUUUAAUUGGAUUAAUUUUAAUUAAGUUGGAUGCACUACUACAAAAAAGGCCAAAGAAACCUAUAAUAAGACACCUGUUGGUAAAUACAGCAGGUCUCUUUGACAUAAGAGACCUAAUAUUAGUGAUAACAGGUCUCUAAAAUGUCAAAGGGCCCACCACUUUUGUUGCGGGAUAUGUAGGGAGGGAAUUAAGAGACCUAUUGUUAAACUCAACGGGUCUCUUAUGUGUGUAAGGGCCCACCAUGACCCUUACCUUCAGUGGCGUCCCCCCAUUUUCAAAAAAAAAUAAAUAAAUAAAAAAACAAAAGAAAAAACAAGAGCCUAAGACAGAAAGAAAAAAACAAAAACCAAACCCUAACUUUUCAAUUUUCAGUUUCUCUCUCUUCGAAGGCGGAAGGUCUCCAGGUCGCCAGUGAUUCGUCGUUGCCGUUCGUCGUGCGUGGGGUUUCAGGCGAAAGCUCGGCUAGACGCUACUUCCACUGGCUGCUUCGCAAAUCUCAAAUCUCAAGUUGACAAGUUCGCAUUUCGCAAAUCUCCAGUUCGCUGUUCGCACUUCGCAAAUUCAAUUGGCCAAUUCACCCAAAUCAGUUAGUCAAUGGAGGUAUGUAUUAUGUAAAUCUGAAUUUCAUUACUUGUUUAGUUGUUUUAUAGUUUAUACUUUUAUUGUGAAUUUGUCAUUUGUGGGUAUUGAAUUGAUUAAUGAUUAUUGAAGUUUUGAAUUUUGAACUGAGUUCGCCACUCUCGCUCGUCGGCUCCACUCCCGGCACUCCGUCCCUCCGUCCGUCGAGUCGCUGCCGUCGCUGCUUCGUGAUUCACUGCUUCGUCCGUUCGUCGGCUCGUUGCUGCACUCGCUGCUCUCCAUUCGACUUCGCUCACUUCGCUAAAUCGCUAGGCCCAAUUCACGGAGGAUGAGCAAUUCAAGAAACUCGCUAAGCUGAUGAAUGGAGGGCUAAAGAAUUACCCAUGAUGUGUUGUAUUCACUUUCCGCAUAAAAUGAUGGGACUGUUGUUGGUUUUGGUAACUUGUAAAUUAUUUCCAAAAGUUCUUAUAUACUUGUAAAUUAUUUCUAUAAGUUCUUGUAUACUUGUAAACUAUUUCUAUAAGUUCUUAUAUACUUGUAAAUUAUUAUUCUUCUUAUUUA